AAAAAAUUGAUAUUGCAGAUUACAAAGCUAAUUGAAGGGGGGAGGGGGUUAGUUUUUAAUACCAAGUAUUUUAAUAUUUUUUGUAAUUUUCAUACAUCUAAUUUUUUAACAUUCCUUUUCAGAUUUCUAUGGAUUUGAAACUUCCGGAUGAAUUUGAAGAACAGCUGUUCAAUCGAUGGAACGUCAUAUUCCUAUACCUAGGCUGAUGUUUUUUUCAAUUUGGAAACAUUGAUGGCAAUUCAAGAUUAUUCAAAGGCAGUCAUAGCAUAAAUGUAAUGUGUGAAAAGGCUCCUCAUAGAUCAGGCUUCAACAUUAAGUUUCAGUCACUAAUGACUCUGAAUCACAUCAACUGGAAGUCAUACAAUGUUUAUUAGUUAAUUUUUCGAUAAUUUUAAAAAGAAAGGAAUUUGUUUAAUAACUAUUUAUCUGUUAAAAUUGAGAGAGCAAGAAAACUAUGUAAUAAAUCAGUACUUACAAGUUUCAUCCUUAAGCCUAAUCUUAAGUUUAGAUUUGUAAUAACCACAAAGUAAUAGUACCUUUAAUUCAUGUUUCGAAGAGAAUACUCAAUAUUUUUGAAUUUAUAACCUAUUAACGAGAAUUAAGAAACCAUAUCUUUUUGAAAGAUUUGGUUUUCUAUUCGUUCAAAAUUAUUUGAAGAAAAAAUAACUUGAAGAAUAUGAUGAGGGAGUCGCUUCAUAGAAGUCAGUGAAAGAGGUAGAGAAGUCGAUAUCACCGAAAUAUUUCUUCAAGAAUUUAAAUGAGACGUUUAUUGGAUACGAAAUGUGGAUUAUUGCCUUUUUACAGCUUCGGAAAAGAUGAGAAUUACCAUUCCUAAGUCAUCCAAUAGUCAUGACUGAUAGUCGUGCAUCAAAGUUUCCCAGAUGAAGUCUAUUUCUAUUGUAAGAAAUUGAAAAGUUAAGAAAUAGAUUUGUGAUUGAAAUGUAAGAAGAACUAUAUUAUGAAAAAACAAAUUUUAGGCUUCGGGAAAAAUGAAUACAUAGAAAUUGAAAGAACUUUUACUAAUUUAUCUAGAUUUUGCAAGAAAUUCCUUAUUAAUGAAAUCAGACUCUUGAGAUAUUUUAAAAAGAUAUUAUAAAUGUUGUUCAAUAACCCAAGUUGCA